rnacentral:rRNA from 1 species
AAAACAACUACGGAGGGUGCAAGCGUUGUUCGGAAUUACUGGGCGUAAAGCGCGCGUAGGCGGUUUGUUAAGUCAGAUGUGAAAGCCCAUGGCUCAACCAUGGACGUGCAUUUGAAACUGGCAGACUUGAGUAUUGGAGGGGGUGGUGGAAUUCCCGGUGUAGAGGUGAAAUUCGUAGAUAUCAGGAGGAACACCGGUGGCGAAGGCGACUUCCUGGACCAAUACUGACGCUGAGGCGCGAAGGCGUGGGGAGCAAACAGG